UACGUAGGCAGCAAGCGUUGUUCGGAAUUACUGGGCGUAAAGAGUGUGUAGGUGGUGUCGUAAGUUUGGUGUGAAAUCUCCCGGCUUAACUGGGAGGGUGCGCCGAAGACUGCGAUGCUGGAGUAUGGGAGAGGAGAGUGGAAUUCCUGGUGUAGCGGUGAAAUGCGCAGAUAUCAGGAAGAACACCCGUGGCUAAGGCGGCUCUCUAGUACGGUACUGACGCUGAGACGCGAAAGCGUGGGGAGCGAACAGG
rnacentral:rRNA from 1 species